rnacentral:rRNA from 1 species
AUUGAACGCUGGCGGCAGGCUUAAUACAUGCAAGUCGAACGAGCAGCGGACGGGUGAGUAGGGUAUGGGAAACUGGCUGAUGGACGGGGAUGACUAGUGGAAACGGUAGCUAAUAGCGCAUACAAUAAGAUGUGGCCAGAGGGGUUUAGCUAGUAGGUGGGGUAAUGGCACACGUAGGCGACGCUCCCUAGCGGGUCUGAGAGGAUGACCAGCCACACUGGAACUGAGACACGGUCCCGACUCCUACGGGAGGCAGCAGUGGGGAAUAUUGCACAAGGGGCGCCAGUCUGAUCCAGCCACGCCGCGUGUGUGAAGAAGGCCUUCGGGUUGUAAAGCUCUGUCGGCGAGGAGGCGUUAUUCACAGAAGAAGCACCGGCUAACUCCGUGCCAGCAGCCGCGGUAAUAC